rnacentral:rRNA from 1 species
UUAGAUACCCUGGUAGUCCACACAGUAAACGAUGAAUACUCGCUGUUUGCGAUAUACAGUAAGCGGCCAAGCGAAAGCAUUAAGUAUUCCACCUGGGGAGUACGCCGGCAACGGUGAAACUCAAAGGAAUUGACGGGGGCCCGCACAAGCGGAGGAACAUGUGGUUUAAUUCGAUGAUACGCGAGGAACCUUACCCGGGCUUAAAUUGCACCUGAAUAACGUGGAAACAUGUUAGCCGCAAGGCAGGAUGUGAAGGUGCUGCAUAGGUUGUCGUCAGCUCGUGCCGUGAGGUGUCGGCUUAAGUGCCAUAACGAGCGCAACCCUUAUCUUUAGUUACUAACAGGUCAUGCUGAGGACUCUAGAGAGACUGCCGUCGUAAGAUGU